CACACACCCAUCAUCCAGCACUCACACACACCCAUCAUCCAGCACUCACACACACCCAUCAUCCAGCACUCACACACACACCCAUCAUCCAGCACUCACACAAACACCCAUCAUCCAGCACUCACACAAACACCCAUCAUCCAGCACUCACACACACAUCAUCCAGCACUCACACACACAUCAUCCAGCACACACACCCAUCAUCCAGCACACACA